rnacentral:rRNA from 1 species
AGUGAACGCUGGCGGUAGGCCUAACACAUGCAAGUCGAACGGCAGCACAGUAAGAGCUUGCUCUUACGGGUGGCGAGUGGCGGACGGGUGAGGAAUACAUCGGAAUCUACUUUUUCGUGGGGGAUAACGUAGGGAAACUUACGCUAAUACCGCAUACGACCUACGAGUGAAAGCAGGGGAUCUUCGGACCUUGCGCGAUUGAAUGAGCUGAUGUCGGAUUAGCUAGUUGGCGGGGUAAAGGCCCACCAAGGCGACGAUCCGUAGCUGGUCUGAGAGGAUGAUCAGCCACACUGGAACUGAGACACGGUCCAGACUCCUACGGGAGGCAGCAGUGGGGAAUAUUGGACAAUGGGCGCAAGCCUGAUCCAGCCAUACCGCGUGGGUGAAGAAGGCCUUCGGGUUGUAAAGCCCUUUUGUUGGGAAAGAAAAGCAGCAGGUUAAUACCCCGCUGUUCUGACGGUACCCAAAGAAUAAGCACCGGCUAACUUCGUG